rnacentral:rRNA from 1 species
AGAGUUUGAUCAUGGCUCAGGACGAACGCUGGCGGCGUGCUUAACACAUGCAAGUCGAACGAUGAUGCCCUGCUUGCAGGGUGGAUUAGUGGCGAACGGGUGAGUAACACGUGGGUGAUCUGCCUCGUACUUCGGGAUAAGCCUGGGAAACUGGGUCUAAUACCGGAUAGGACCUUCCUUUAGUGUGGAAGGUGGAAAGUUUUUUCGGUACGAGAUGAGCCCGCGGCCUAUCAGCUUGUUGGUGGGGUAAUGGCCUACCAAGGCGACGACGGGUAGCCGGCCUGAGAGGGUGUACGGCCACAUUGGGACUGAGACACGGCCCAAACUCCUACGGGAGGCAGCAGUGGGGAAUCUUGCACAAUGGGCGAAAGCCUGAUGCAGCGACGCCGCGUGGGGGAUGACGGCCUUCGGGUUGUAAACCCCUUUCGCUAGGGAAGAAGCCACUUUGUGGUGACGGUACCUGGAUAAGGAGCACCGGCUAACUACGUGCCAGCAGCCGCGGUAAUACGUAGGGUGCAAGCGUUGUCCGGAAUUACUGGGCGUAAAGAGCUCGUAGGUGGUUUGUCGCGUCGUCUGUGAAAUCCCGGGGCUUAACUCCGGGUCUGCAGGCGAUACGGGCAUAACUAGAGUGCUGUAGGGGAGACUGGAAUUCCUGGUGUAGCGGUGAAAUGCGCAGAUAUCAGGAGGAACACCGAUGGCGAAGGCAGGUCUCUGGGCAGUAACUGACGCUGAGGAGCGAAAGCAUGGGGAGCAAACAGGAUUAGAUACCCCGGUAGUCC